rnacentral:rRNA from 1 species
UACGAAGGGUGCAAACGUUGCUCGGAAUUAUUGGGCGUAAAGCGCACGUAGGCGGCAUUGCAAGUCGGAUGUGAAAUCUUAUGGCUUAACCAUAAAAGUGCAUCCGAAACUGCAGUGCUUGAGUACUUAAGAGGAUCGCGGAAUUCCCGGUGUAGAGGUGAAAUUCGUAGAUAUCGUAAGGAAGACCAGUGGCGAAGGCGGGUCUCUGGACAGUGACUGACGCUGAGGCACGAAGGCCAGGGGAGCAAACGGG